UAGGGUUCGAUUCCGGANANGGAGCCUGANAAACGGCUACCACAUCUAAGGAAGGCAGCAGGCGCGCAAAUUACCCAAUCCUAAUACAGGGAGGUAGUGACAAGAAAUAACAAUACAGGACUUUUUGGUUUUGUAAUUGGAAUGAGUUAAGUAUAAACCCCUUUACAAGUAUCAAUUGGA
rnacentral:rRNA from 1 species